AAAACUCCGUAAAAUAUAUAAGGCGACUAAUAAAGUCAUCGAUAAAAUUAUCUACGAUUUGAAUUUGAAGUCAUUCGUGUCAAAACUAGAAGGGGAAUUAAAAAAAGAAUUUGACAGAUCCGCGUGCGGAAUACGAAAAAGGACGCUUAUCAUCAAUUUUUCCGGUCUUGAUGAAACUAUAAACUUAUUUCUUACGAAAAAUAUAUAUCUAAUAAGGCAAAUAAUAAUAAUGUUCCUGGUCACGGAUUAUUAUGAAAUGAGCGAUGAUAAUAGUAAUAAUAGUGAUAAUAGUGAUAAUAGUAA